UCCCUGGUGGCUCAGCAGGUUAAGGGCCUGGCAUUGUCACUGUUGCGGCACAAGUUCAAUACUUGACCCGGGAA
rnacentral:tRNA from 1 species